UCCGGUUUGUCACCGGCAGUCUCAUUAGAGUGCCCAACUAAAUGUAGCAACUAAUGACAAGGGUUGCGCUCGUUGCGGGACUUAACCCAACAUCUCACGACACGAGCUGACGACAACCAUGCACCACCUGUCACUCUGUCCCCCGAAGGGGAAAGUCCUAUCUCUAGGAUUGUCAGAGGAUGUCAAGACCUGGUAAGGUUCUUCGCGUUGCUUCGAAUUAAACCACAUGCUCCACCGCUUGUGCGGGCCCCCGCCUAUUCCUUUGAGUUUUAACCUUGCGGCCGUACUUCCCAGGCGGCACAUUUAUCGCGUUAGCUGCGGCACUGAUCGGGUCAAUCCGACCAACACCUAGUUCACAACGUUUAGGGCGUGGACUAC
rnacentral:misc_RNA from 1 species